CCUACGGGUGGCAGCAGUGAGGAAUAUUGGUCAAUGGUCGUGAGACUGAACCAGCCAAGUAGCGUGCGGGAUGAAGGCUCUAUGGAUUGUAAACUGCUUUUAUACGGGGAUAAAGUGUGUGACGUUUCCUGUUUUGUAGGUACCUUAUGAAUAAGGACCGGCUAAUUCCGUGCCAGCAGCCGCGGUAAUACGGAGGGUCCGGGCGUUAUCCGGAUUUAUUGGGUUUAAAGGGUGCGUAGGCGGCAUUUUAAGCCUGCGGUGAAAGUCCGUGGCUCAACCAUUGAACUGCGGUUGAAACUGGCUUGCUUGAGUAUGUGGAAGGUAGGCGGAAUGCGUGGUGUAGCGGUGAAAUGCGUAGAUAUCACGCAGAACCCCGAUUGCGAAGGCAGCAUAC
rnacentral:rRNA from 1 species